rnacentral:rRNA from 1 species
UGAUGGGCUCCGAAGCUAACGCGAUAAAUCGACGCUGGGGAGUACGGCCGCAAGGUUAAAACUCAAAUGAAUUGACGGGGGCCCGCACAAGCGGUGGAGCAUGUGGUUUAAUUCGAUGCAACGCGAAGAACCUUACCUGGUCUUGACAUCCAUAGAAUUCUGCAGAGAUGUGGGAGUGCCUUCGGGAACUAUGAGACAGGUGCUGCAUGGCUGUCGUCAGCUCGUGUUGUGAAAUGUUGGGUUAAGUCCCGCAACGAGCGCAACCCUUAUCCUUUGUUGCCAGCGAUUUGGUCGGGAACUCAAAGGAGACUGCCGUUGAUAAAGCGGAGGAAGGUGGGGACGACGUCAAGUCAUCAUGGCCCUUACGACCAGGGCUACACACGUGCUACAAUGGCGUAUACAAAGGGAAGCGAAGGUGCGAGCUGGAGCGGAUCUCAUAAAGUACGUCUAAGUUCGGAUUGGAGUCUGCAACUCGACUCCAUGAAGUCGGAAUCGCUAGUAAUCGUAGAUCAGAAUGCUACGGUGAAUACGUUCCCGGGCCUUGUACACACCGCCCGCCACACCAUGGGAGUGGGUUGCACCAGAAGUAGAUAGCUUAACCGCGAGGGGGGCGUUUACCACGGUGUGAUUCAUGACUGGGGUGAAGUCGUAACAAGGUAACCA